GACGAACGCUGGCGGCGUGCCUAAUACAUGCAAGUAGGACGCAGUUGCGAACGGGUGAGUAACGCGUAGGUAACUACCUAUUAGUGGGGGAUAACUAUUGGAAACGAUAGCUAAUACCGCAUACUAGUAGAUGGACCUGCGUUGUAUUAGCUAGUAGGUAGGGUAAUGGCCAAACUAGGCAACGAUACAUAGCCGACCCGAGAGGGUGUUAGGCCACCGUGGGUAUGAGAAAAGGCCCUGAGUCCUACGGUACGCAGCAGUAGGGAAUUUUCGGCCAUGGGGGGAACCCUGACCCUGCAACGCCGCCUGAGUGAAGAAGGUUUUCGGAUCGUAAAGCUCUGUUGUUAAGGAAGCGGUACUUAACCAGAAAGGGACGGCUAACUACGUGCCAGCCGCCGCGGUAAUAC
rnacentral:rRNA from 1 species